rnacentral:rRNA from 1 species
UACGUAGGGGGCUAGCGUUGUCCGGAUUUAUUGGGCGUAAAGAGCGUGUAGGCGGCUUGGUAGGUCUGCUGUGAAAACUCGAGGCUCAACCUCGAGAUGUCGGCGGAAACCAUCUGGCUAGAGUCCGGAAGAGGAGAGUGGAAUUCCUGGUGUAGCGGUGAAAUGCGCAGAUAUCAGGAAGAACACCUAUGGCGAAGGCAGCUCUCUGGGACGGUACUGACGCUGAGACGCGAAAGCGUGGGGAGCGAACAGG